GCGACUAACCAGUGGUUGCCUCCUCGAUUUACAUAUUUUGAUAUUAUCCCGGGAUCCCUCAAGAGUCGAGCCCCUCGCUCUUUCGUUGUCUCCUCUCCCUCUAGCCCCUCGCUUUCGUUGUCACUGCCACUUCUCACCAUUGUCCGCUCUCUCCAAUAGCUGCUUCCACUCACUCCCGUCGCAACAACGCCACUCUUGGGUCAUUGGCCAACCCCUUGGAAUUGUAAAGGCUAUGAACAAUGAUACUUGAAGAGGUCCACAUAGAGUUGAGUCUCACAUAUGGGAUAACAAGUUUUGCUAGUCGGAAAAAAUAAUGAAACUAUGAAUUGUUAUGAGAAAACCAUGUAGAACAAACACCUCAGUCAUAGCAGGCACUAUUAAUAUUUCUAAAGUAUGCUCUUCCAAUACUUACAAAUCAGUGCAUGAGUGAAAUGCCAAGAGUGUUUAUUUGCAAGUAUUGGAAGAGCUUACUUUAAAUCUAUUAAUAGUGCUGCUAUGGUUGAGGCGAUUGUUCUACAUGGUUUCCUCAUAACAAACCACAGUUCCAUUAUUUUUUGCCAACUAGCAAAACUUGUUAUGAUGCUUAGUCAACUGUAGAAGAGCAACAGCAGCACUUUUAGUUACAAUGUUGGAAAAGGAGGGAAUUGCCACGUGUCAUUCUCAUGGUAAUACUGCAGACUGUAACUUUCACUGCAACUUGCAAGAAACUCUGACCUCCAUGUUGUUUUCUCCAUUGUUCAUUAUGAAGAAGGAUUCCUAUAUCCAUUUGCAGGACUGUUGUAUCGCAAGAAAGUCACUAGUAUGCAUGAAAAUACUCCAAUCUUAUGCCUUCUUCAGCAUUCAUUGCUCAUUUCUUUCCUCGGAUGGAGACUAUUUUUAUUUUGAUGUCAUUAUUUUUAAUAUAUGAGGACUGUGGAAACUGUAUCUGCUUAUCCAUGCAAAUGAAAGAUAAAGGAAACUUUAAUAUGUAAGACUUCUAUAGGCAGAAAGAGAUAGCAAAAUCAUUAAACAGUCUCAAGCAAUAAGAACUAAUAAAUGUCAAUGCAAAAGUUGAAAAUUUUUUGGUUGUUGGGAAGUCUUGGCUUUA